rnacentral:rRNA from 1 species
ACGAACGCUGGCGGCGUGCCUAAUCCAUGCAAGUAGAACGCACAGUUUAUACCGUAGCUUGCUACACCAUAGCCUGUGAGUUGCUAACGGGUGAGUAACGCGUAUGUAACCUGCCUGGUAGCGGGGGAUAACUAUUGGAAACGAUAGCUAAUACCUCAUAAUAUUUAUUAUUGCAUGAUAAUUGAUUGAAAGAUGCUAUUGCAUCACUACCAGAUGGACCUGCGUUGUAUUAGCUAGUAGGUGAGGUAACGGCUCACCUAGGCGACGAUACAUAGCCGACCCGAGAGGGGGAUCGGCCACACUGGGACUGAGACACGGCCCAGACUGCUACGGGAGGAAGCAGUAGGGAAUCUUCGGCAAUGGACGAAAGUAAGACCGAGCAACGCAGCGUGAGUGAAGAAGGUUUUCGGAUCGUAAAGCUCUGUUGUAAGAGAAGAACGGGUGUGAGAGUGGAAAGUUCAAACUGAGACGGUAUCUUACCAGAAAGGGACGGCUAAAUACGUG